AGAGUUUGAUCAUGGCUCAGAACGUACGCUGGCGGCACGCCUAACACAUGCAAGUCGAACGCAGUAGCAAUACUGAGUGGCAAACGGGUGAGUAUAAUGUGGGAAUCUGCCUUUUGGUUUGGAAUAACACGGGGAAACUUGUGCUAAUACCGAAUAAGCCCUUACGGGGAAAGUUUUAAUGCCGAAAGAUGAGCCCGCACUUGAUUAGCUAGUUGGUAAGGUAAAAGCUUACCAAGGCAACGAUCAAUAGCUGUUCUUAGAGGAAGACCAGCCACAUUGGGACUGAGACACGGCCCAGACUCCUACGGGAGGCAGCAGUGGGGAAUCUUGCACAAUGGGGGAAACCCUGAUGCAGCGAUGCCGCGUGAGUGAAGAAGGCCCUUGGGUUGUAAAACUCUUUCGUCGGGGAAGAAAAUGACUGUACCCGAAUAAGAAGGUCCGGCUAACUUCGUGCCAGCAGCCGCGGUAAUACGAAGGGACCUAGCGUAGUUCGGAAUUACUGGGCUUAAAGAGCUCGUAGGUGGUUAAAAUAGUUGAUGGUGAAAUCCCAAGGCUUAACCUUGGAACUGCCAUCAAAACUUUUUAGCUAGAGUGUGAUAGAGGUAAGUGGAAUUUCUAGUGUAGAGGUGAAAUUCGUAGAUAUUAGAAAGAACACCAAAUGCGAAGGCAACUUACUGGGUCACUACUGACACUGAGGAGCGAAAGCAUGGGUAGCGAAGAGGAUUAGAUACCCUCGUAGUCCAUGCCGUAAACGAUGUGUGCUAGACGUUGGAAAUAUAUUUUUCAGUGUCGCAGCGAAAGCAUUAAGCACACCGCCUGGGGAGUACGACCGCAAGGUUAAAACUCAAAUGAAUUGACGGGGACCCGCACAAGCAGUGGAGCAU
rnacentral:rRNA from 1 species